rnacentral:rRNA from 1 species
UACGUAGGGUGCGAGCGUUAAUCGGAAUUACUGGGCGUAAAGCGUGCGUAGACGGUUAUGUAAGUCAGAUGUGAAAGCCCCGGGCUCAACCUGGGAAUUGCAUUGGAAACUGGCGUGCUGGAGUACGGGAGAGGGAAGCGGAAUUCCCGGUGUAGUGGUGAAAUGCGUAGAUAUCGGGAGGAACACCAGUGGCGAAGGCGACUACCUGGCCUGUUCUUGACGCUGAGGCGCGAAGCUAGGGAGCAACGGG